GGGGAUAACGUUUGGAAACGAACGCUAAUACCGCAUGAUAUUAUUGGGCAGCAUUGCCUGAUAAUCAAAGGAGCAAUCCGCUGAAAGAUGGGCUCGCGUCCGAUUAGGUAGUUGGCGGGGUAACGGCCCACCAAGCCGACGAUCGGUAGCCGGACUGAGAGGUUGAACGGCCACAUUGGGACUGAGACACGGCCCAGACUCCUACGGGAGGCAGCAGUGAGGGAUAUUGGUCAAUGGGGGAAACCCUGAACCAGCAACGCCGCGUGAGGGAAGACGGUUUUCGGAUUGUAAACCUCUGUCCUCUGUGAAGAUGAUGACGGUAGCAGAGGAGGAAGCUCCGGCUAACUACGUGCCAGCAGCCGCGGUAAUACGUAGGGAGCAAGCGUUGUCCGGAUUUACUGGGUGUAAAGGGUGCGUAGGCGGCUUUGCAAGUCAGAAGUGAAAUCUAUGGGCUUAACCCAUAAACUGCUUUUGAAACUGCAGGGCUUGAGUGAAGUAGAGGUAGGCGGAAUUCCCGGUGUAGCGGUGAAAUGCGUAGAGAUCGGGAGGAACACCAGUGGCGAAGGCGGCCUACUGGGCUUUAACUGACGCUGAGGCACGAAAGCGUGGGUAGCAGACAGGAUUAGAUACCCUGGUAGUCCACGCUGUAAACGAUGAUUACUGGGUGUGGGUGGACUGACCCCAUCCGUGCCGGAG
rnacentral:rRNA from 1 species